AGAGUUUGAUCCUGGCUCAGGAUGAACGCUAGCUACAGGCUUAACACAUGCAAGUCGAGGGGCAGCAUUUUAGUUUGCUUGCAAACUAAAGAUGGCGACCGGCGCACGGGUGAGUAACACGUAUCCAACCUGCCGAUAACUCGGGGAUAGCCUUUCGAAAGAAAGAUUAAUAUCCGAUAGUAUAUUAAAACCGCAUGGUUUUACUAUUAAAGAAUUUCGGUUAUCGAUGGGGAUGCGUUCCAUUAGUUUGUUGGCGGGGUAACGGCCCACCAAGACUACGAUGGAUAGGGGUUCUGAGAGGAAGGUCCCCCACAUUGGAACUGAGACACGGUCCAAACUCCUACGGGAGGCAGCAGUGAGGAAUAUUGGUCAAUGGACGAGAGUCUGAACCAGCCAAGUAGCGUGAAGGAUGACUGCCCUAUGGGUUGUAAACUUCUUUUAUAUGGGAAUAAAGUAUUCCACGUGUGGAAUUUUGUAUGUACCAUAUGAAUAAGGAUCGGCUAACUCCGUGCCAGCAGCCGCGGUAAUACGGAGGAUCCGAGCGUUAUCCGGAUUUAUUGGGUUUAAAGGGAGCGUAGGUGGAUUGUUAAGUCAGUUGUGAAAGUUUGCGGCUCAACCGUAAAAUUGCAGUUGAAACUGGCAGUCUUGAGUACAGUAGAGGUGGGCGGAAUUCGUGGUGUAGCGGUGAAAUGCUUAGAUAUCACGAAGAACUCCGAUUGCGAAGGCAGCUCACUAGACUGCAACUGACACUGAUGCUCGAAAGUGUGGGUAUCAAACAGGAUUAGAUACCCUGGUAGUCCACACAGUAAACGAUGAAUACUCGCUGUUUGCGAUAUACAGUAAGCGGCCAAGCGAAAGCAUUAAGUAUUCCACCUGGGGAGUACGCCGGCAACGGUGAAACUCAAAGGAAUUGACGGGGGCCCGCACAAGCGGAGGAACAUGUGGUUUAAUUCGAUGAUACGCGAGGAACCUUACCCGGGCUUAAAUUGCAUUUGAAUAAUCUGGAAACAGGUUAGCCGCAAGGCAAAUGUGAAGGUGCUGCAUGGUUGUCGUCAGCUCGUGCCGUGAGGUGUCGGCUUAAGUGCCAUAACGAGCGCAACCCUUAUCUUUAGUUACUAACAGGUCAUGCUGAGGACUCUAGAGAGACUGCCGUCGUAAGAUGUGAGGAAGGUGGGGAUGACGUCAAAUCAGCACGGCCCUUACGUCCGGGGCUACACACGUGUUACAAUGGGGGGUACAGAAGGCAGCUACCUGGCGACAGGAUGCUAAUCCCAAAAACCUCUCUCAGUUCGGAUCGAAGUCUGCAACCCGACUUCGUGAAGCUGGAUUCGCUAGUAAUCGCGCAUCAGCCAUGGCGCGGUGAAUACGUUCCCGGGCCUUGUACACACCGCCCGUCAAGCCAUGAAAGCCGGGGGUACCUGAAGUACGUAACCGCAAGGAGCGUCCUAGGGUAAAACUGGUAAUUGGGGCUAAGUCGUAACAAGGUAGCCGUACCGGAAGGUGCGGCUG
rnacentral:rRNA from 1 species